GACGAACGCUGGCGGCGUGCUUAACACAUGCAAGUCGAACGAUGAAGCUAGAGCUUGCUCUGGUGAAUUAGUGGCGAACGGGUGAGUAACACGUGAGUAACCUGCCCCGAACUCUGGGAUAACUGCUGGAAACGGUAGCUAAUACUGGAUAUGACCUACGAAGGCAUCUUCUGUAGGUGGAAAGAAUUUCGGUUCGGGAUGGACUCGCGGCCUAUCAGCUUGUUGGUGAGGUAAUGGCUCACCAAGGCGACGACGGGUAGCCGGCCUGAGAGGGUGACCGGCCACACUGGGACUGAGACACGGCCCAGACUCCUACGGGAGGCAGCAGUGGGGAAUAUUGCACAAUGGGCGCAAGCCUGAUGCAGCAACGACGCGUGAGGGAUGACGGCCUUCGGGUUGUAAACCUCUUUUAGUAGGGAAGAAGCGAAAGAGACGGUACCUGCAGAAAAAGCACCGGCUAACUACGUGCCAGCCGCCGCCGUAA
rnacentral:rRNA from 1 species